CCAGCACCCCGAGUGGUCGGGACGAUUAUUGGGCCUAAAGCAUCCGUAGCCGGUUUUACAAGUCCUCCGUUAAAUCCAACUGCUUAACAGAUGGGCCGCGGAGGAUACUAUAAGACUAGGAGGCAGGAGAGGCAAGCGGUACUCAGUGGGUAGGGGUAAAAUCCGUUGAUCCAUUGAAGACCACCAGUGGCGAAGGCGGCUUGCCAGAAUGCGCUCGACGGUGAGGGAUGAAAGCUGGUGGAGCAAACCGGAUUAGAUACCCGGGUAGUCCCAGCUGUAAACGAUGCAGACUCGGUGAUGGACUAGCUUCAUGCUAGUCCAGUGCCGCAGGGAAGCCGUUAAGUCUGCCGCCUGGGUAGUACGGUCGCAAGACUG
rnacentral:rRNA from 1 species